GGGGUUGUACUGGUUUCGACGGGGGUUUAGAAAUUACGGUAGCCAUUCGUGGACCAGGACCACGCUAAAACUUGGAAAAUAAAUAUAAACGCAGACGAAAAUUACGCGUACGCUGCCUAAUUAUGGCAGCUGUCAGCUCUAGGUUCCCCACAACUUAGAAUCCUGGCAUCGACUUAGUGGGACACUCCGGGGCUUAAGCUUUGCGGUUUCGGAAAAUUCAUGAAGCUACCAUAUAGGAAAGCCUGUUUGUAGGCGUUUUUGUAUGGGAAAUCCAAUAUACAAACUGUAAUGGGAGAAGCUGUAAUGGAAGAGCUUUCGGACAGGGGUUCGAUUCCCCUCAGCUCCAUCG
rfam:Clostridium sp. CAG:127 genomic scaffold, scf99